rnacentral:rRNA from 1 species
GUGGGGUAAAGGCCUACCAAGCCGACGAUCUGUAGCUGGUCUGAGAGGACGACCAGCCACACUGGGACUGAGACACGGCCCAGACUCCUACGGGAGGCAGCAGUGGGGAAUUUUGGACAAUGGGCGCAAGCCUGAUCCAGCCAUGCCGCGUGCGGGAAGAAGGCCUUCGGGUUGUAAACCGCUUUUGUCAGGGAAGAAACGCGCUGAGCUAAUACCUCGGCGUAAUGACGGUACCUGAAGAAUAAGCACCGGCUAACUACGUGCCAGCAGCCGCGGUAAUACGUAGGGUGCAAGCGUUAAUCGGAAUUACUGGGCGUAAAGCGUGCGCAGGCGGUUGUGUAAGACAGAUGUGAAAUCCCCGGGCUCAACCUGGGAACUGCAUUUGUGACUGCACAGCUAGAGUGCGGCAGAGGGGGAUGGAAUUCCGCGUGUA